rnacentral:rRNA from 1 species
AUGGACGAGUUCAUGCAGUCACAGGAGACGAGCGACAGCAUGGUCAUGUCGACGCAACCUUCUCCCACAUCAAGGGCCUCUCCAACCAAAAUAUGUGCCAUGGUAGACUCCCUUGAUACAUUCAAGAAAUCUCUGGUUGAGGAGAUGGAGUCUGGAGGCAUUUUGCACGUGCCACAUAUAUCUAGGAUGAAUUUGAAGUUAAGCAUAUGGUUGAUGUCUAGAGUAGACGAAGUAUCUAGGACCAUAUACAUUCGGCCUGGUCGGCAAAUGUCCUUCAGGGCAUCCGACGUGCACAAGGUUUUUGGUGUACCAUGCGGUCCUUUGCAUAUACAGAAAGCGUCCGCCUUAGACACAACACAUAUGCGCAAUUUUAUGCAUAUCAGUCAGCACGGGAAAAAUCUUCUCACUGUCGUAGAAAAAAUCAUCUAUAGACCGUUAGACAAAGAUAGCUCGGAUAGGGAGAUUAGCUCUUUCAAAAUGGCUUUUGUCAUGUUUGUUGUUGGUUAUCUGCUAACCCAAUCACCUAGCCAUGAUUGCACAAACACACAGUACUGGGGCGCGCUUGCGCAAAUAGAUCACGUCGCAGAGUUCAACGGGUGCGAAUACCUGUUAGAAGAGCUGAUGGCUGCAUGCUUAAGAGUGAAGGCAGAUAUCAGGGCAGGACGGGAUGUCACGUAUCUGCAUGUCUGCCAUUUAUUUCUGCAGGUUUUCUACCUAGACAACCUUGAUCUUGGAUCACUAAACCUCUCGCACAAUACAUUUCCACGAAUAUCUGCAUUUGACGAAACGCAAUACAAGCGUAUGUGGGUACAAUGCAACGUGGGGCAUUUUAAAGGGACACCAGACUUCUCCGGAGCAAUGAUUCGGUCUGCGGACCAGGUCUGCUAUGCCAGGAGCGCGUGGGACACCCCUUCGGAUCCGGUGCCCUGCGACAACAGCAUGUUCCCCGGGCGACUAGCAUGUUUCAACAACACCGUGCCUGGCUCCAGCCGGCCUCACGGUGCCCCCCUCUUCACCAAUGCACAGCCGAUAUCGUUUAGGCUGCCACAUGGCCCACACGGGGUCCCACCCUCGCCAGCGACUCCAGCGCCUACGUUCACGCGGGCAGCCACGGCCGGUGACUUUCUCAUGUACAUGAAGGCAAAUUACCCAAAGUUGGCCACCUCGAAGAUCGGCAUGCUGAUGAAGAAGCAUAACGCCACCACAUUUAGGCUCGCUAAUAGUCUUAAGACAGAUCUGUUUGCCGAGGACACCGCUUUUCUGAACGCACUCGUUAGCGAGCUUGGCGAGGGCUGCAUAUGUUGCAGCCUACGUACUCUGCCAUGCAUCAUUAACAAUCCACCAAGUCCCGACUCUCCAUGCUGCACCAAUAUUUACAGGCGCAAAUUGGAUAUGGCCGACUCCGAUGGAGAAAUCUUCGCAGGACACCACCAGCGGGGAUCGUGCAGGUUUUCUCACGCCAGUACCAUCCAAGAGCCUGGUUAUCGCCCAAUCUUCAGCAGACGAACAGAAAGGAUAGUGGGACGGGCUUGCAGGUUUAAUUAUGAUGCUGGACGGCGAGGCCACACACACCGCCGGGACAGUGGUUUUUGGUCAGGCAUCUCGUGA